rnacentral:rRNA from 1 species
GAACGAACGCUGGCGGCAUGCCUAACACAUGCAAGUCGAACGAACCCUUCGGGGUUAGUGGCGCACGGGUGCGUAACGCGUGGGGAUCUGCCCUUUGCUUCGGAAUAACAGUUAGAAAUGACUGCUAAUACCGGAUGAUGUCGCAAGACCAAAGAUUUAUCGGCAAAGGAUGAACCCGCGUAGGAUUAGCUAGUUGGUGGGGUAAAGGCCUACCAAGGCGACGAUCCUUAGCUGGUCUGAGAGGAUGAUCAGCCACACUGGGACUGAGACACGGCCCAGACUCCUACGGGAGGCAGCAGUGGGGAAUAUUGGACAAUGGGCGAAAGCCUGAUCCAGCAAUGCCGCGUGAGUGAUGAAGGCCUUCGGGUUGUAAAGCUCUUUUUACCAGGGAUGAUAAUGACAGUACCUGGAGAAUAAGCUCCGGCUAACUCCGUG